CGAGCACACACAGCCCCUUGGAUCAUGGCGCUGAUUGCAAAGCUACUCUGUAUUUUGCCGUUUGUGGGAACUGUCAGAGCGAUUCGUGCCAUUUGCCCAAAUCCAACAAUUGAGUCAGUGGUAGGUCAUACCGUCACACUACCAUGUUAUCUGGAUUCCCGGUACAGCUUGGAAAAUUCUACUGUCGAUUAGAGAAGAGUCGACAUCAACAAGGUGGUCUACUCGUAUCGACACAGGCGGGAAAAUGGCAAUAACCAAGUGGAUCAAUACCGAGGCAGAGCGACUCUGAACCUCGAAGAGCUGAAGAGAGGAAUCCUGACUCUGCACAUCUCCCCAUUACAGCUGUCUGACAGUGGAAAAUACCAAUGCUUUCUCUCAAGACCGAGGACCUACUGUUCUACUAACCUCACUGUUGUGACCGAAGGUCAACUGAAGAGAAACGGGAAUGUUUCCAGCACGACCACACCUGUACUGGAUGAGCAGGACAAUCCUGGUGAAGUACUCGUUUUUAAGUGGUUAUUUCUCGAUCUUUGAGAAAAAGAAGAGUUUUAUAGAAAUGUGCAGCUUAAGUUUGAACAUUAACAUUGAUAGUAAUAUCUUUACACAAAUAACAGGUUUCUCAUGAAACUCAUAGCCAUAAUGUCAGGAUGUCUUUAAAUCAAGACAUUUUCAGCAUUUAGAAAUGAAUUUACUUUCUGGAAAUCAGUAGAAUAAUUUGUUAGAAGUAAAUAUAUAUUGGAAAGUCAUCCUGGCAUUUCCCAGACUUUGUUUUUUUUACUUCAUGCCCCCUUUUGAAAGACAUGUCAGCUUAUAGCAGUGAUAUUGCUAACAACAGACAACACAAAGUUAGCUCUAGAGGUAGAGACAACAGUGAGCGUCCUAACAGGCAGAACAGGUUAAAAGCACUGAAGUUGAUAGGAAUAAUUAUAAAAGUAAUGUUGGCAUGAAAUUCCUGCUGUUGGACUGCUCCACAAGAGGUUCUCAGAGGGACAGUUAUCAUAUUACCUUAGCAUGUGUAAAAACUGCUUCACUCUAAGGGGUCUGUCAAUACAGGACUGAAGUAUUGUUUAUCAGCCACACAGGAUCGUGAAAAGAAAUUCUUGAGCAACUGCCUGUUUUUGUUUUUUGUACAAUUACAUAGCAGUGUGAUGUAUGUUCCAACCAGAGCCAUCCCUUUGUAGUUUAUCAGCUGUCACCCAGUCUCCCACCGAAACUGUAAACACAUUUUUUUCACACAAGUCCACUUGGAAGUGUUGUUCUUUAGUCUGCAGGAGGGUUCGACAUACUUGA